rnacentral:misc_RNA from 1 species
GUCCACCUUGGGCGUGAUGGGGACCCCGCUCAGCCACUCCGGGGCGAGGUACCCUGCUGUCCCUCGGAACGUGGUCAGGACCCGGCUGAAGUCUCGGCCGACGAACGCCGCCAUCCCGAAGUCCGCGAUCUUGGGCGCGAAGGACGCGUCGAGGAGGAUGUUCUCCGGUUUGAUGUCGCAGUGGAUGAUGCACUCGCGGCAGCUCUGGUGCAGGUAGCACAAUCCUCUUGCGACCCCGACGGCGAUCCUGUACCUCUUGCUCCAAUCCAGCGCAGUGGCGACGACGGCGGCACUGCUCUGCUGGAACAGAUGCGCGUCGAGGGACCCGUUCACCACGUGCUCGUACACAAGCAGCCUCUUGUCGCCUUCGCAGCAGAAGCCGAUCAGUCUGACCAGGUUGAUGUGCUGGAUCAUCCCGACCGAGCUCACCUCAGCCCGGAACUGCUUCUCGCCUUGCCGGGCAUCGUCGAG